CGCCUCUCCACCCCAUCCUCGCCCAAGCUUCAAACGGAAGUGCUCUCCGCCUAUAUUCAUCAAAGCCAGCUCACAUCCAACGCGCAGGCGCCGAAAAGGCACGCUGAAAAUCCAAAGUGAUAAAAAUCUCUGGGCCGCUAAUGAAAGCGUCUAACUCCGGCCGAAACCUCCUGCGAGGUUUUUCCUUUCACCUCCCUUUGAGGACCCCAAUUGUGAAGGGACGGAGCGAGGAAGGAAAAACAGCAAUGGGAAUAACGCAAAUCUGAACUUUUGCUCUGCAGUGGGCGAGAGUCACGGGCAGCCAGCAUUUAAACAACUACUGCUCGUGGGGCACUGUGCUAAACGGGACGUAUACAGAAGGGCAAACACCAGUCUGCCCCCUCAGGAGCGUCGCGCCCCGCCCCAUCGACUCCUCCUUCCGGGAAUUUGGAACAAAUCUAUUCACUCUCUUUUGGGGAUGUGCAGCUGUUAAAAGUUACAUUGUAUCAAUUUUCUAUAGUUUCUCCGCCCCAGUUACUCUGUAUCUGCUUUGUAUGUUUGUCUGCAACAAACAAACAUUCAUCAAUUUCAUUUCCGACUAUAACCAGGGCUAUGUUUAACAACCGGAUUUUGCAGGGAUUUUUUUUAAAAAAAGUUUGCUCUAACACUUUUAAGUGAAAUCUGAUUAUUUACACUUUUAAAAUCUAGCCAAUCUAAAACAAAAAAUAAAUCAAACCCCGAUUUGUAAGGAUUUCCGAUUUCUGAGGCGCAAGAGCUCACCCUCCUCAUUUUCCCCUCUUACCAGCAAGCCAUCUCUUGUUAACAGAAAAUUAAAAGUAAAGAAAAAAGUAAGAAAAGCUAUCCAUGCAUUAACUGUGUCCGACAGAACUACAAUAUCUACUCCCAUAGCUCUGCCUCUGUGCAUUUUCUCAGCUCUUCUCGGAGUUAAACUUGGUUAUUACAAACUUUUUUUGUUCUUUCUGUUUCCAUUAUGGUGCUAAUCCUUUUUUUGUGCUGCUGCGUACUUCUACAUAUGCUCAUUAAAAAACUACUUCUUUUGAA